UCUUCCUGCCGUCAUGCGCCACCUCUCACUGCCGCAUCCUGAUGCCUUGCAUCUCAAAGGCACGAUGCCGCCCCCCCUCUAGUCUUGUGUGAUCUCUCAAUCUUCUUCCUCUUUCUUUUCCCCUUCUGCUAUCCAUGGAUUUCAAGAUAUCCCCACCAGAUCGACAACCGUGGCUGGGGGAUUCCAAGAAUUUCUACUCCAGAAUCAAUCUAUACGGAGUAUGGUUGAUAUAUAUUGAUUUCCCCCGAUCGAUUUCUUUCUAUGUGAUGUGUGCAGGUUGGGUGGCGGCGACGGCGUGCUCCACUGAUGUGCAGAGCUGGGCAGCCAUGGCGCCCAGGCAAGCCAAGGAGGCCCGAGCAUGCUGAUGUGUGGGGAUUUGGACUCCAGCAACAACCCUCCGUAAUCUGAAAGAUGUUGCGUCCAAAAUUAUGGCCUUUUCUCAACAAGGCCCGCACACUACAUGCAUAAUUUGAGCAAACGGCGCUCUGUGUACGGCAACACUGCGUCAACCAGCAACCUCUAGUGGGAUAGUGACAUAUGAGGAAGCCAGAGAUCUACUGUUGCUAGAGUUGAGCCAGAUGUAGGACGAGGCCACCAUUGAUCUUCUACAAGCCUGAGCUUGUAAGGCAAGGAUCUUAUUUCUUGCUCUUCAGUGAUGGAUUUUGAUUGCAAAUCUAGCUAGCUAGUAUAAUAGAUUUCUUCAUGGAUUUUUAGAUCUGUACAAAGAGUGAAACUUGUUGGACUUGUGGAUUUGACAAACUUGUGGAACUUGUUAUGAUACAACUUUUGAAUUUGUAAAUUUGAUGAUGGAACUUGAUUUUGAUGUUUGUGUUGUGAUGUGGUCAGCUUUGAUAUUAUA